UGUGUUCUGUACGUGAUCAGGGGAAGGCUCUAGAGAGCCAAACCCUAGUUCAUCAUAUAUCAACCAAUUGAAGGAUGAAUCGAGGCUCAAAUUCAAGAAGGAACAUGAAUUAACGAUCACCCAAGCUAGGGGAUCAUAAGGAAUCAUGUCAAGAUGGAUGGGAGCGUUGAAGGCUAACGGGCUAAGAAGACUCAAUCAAGUAAGCGAACGAAAAUACGGACGCACAAGGCUAUAUAUGUUUGGAUGUUUCAUCUAGAAGUGUACGCGGUUGAAGAUCGAGUCAAGACACGGAUUGUAUGUGGAUGUGUACGUAGUCACUUAAAUUGAGACAUGUAUGUUAGUUUUUGGAUUAAUUUAUAAAAUAGAUUAAUGUAUUUAAAUGAAAGAAAGAAUAUCAUGAAGGAAAUUUUAGGUAUUUAGUUUCCGUUGCGAAUCUUAGGUUAAAACGUGUUAGGGUGUUAC